CUUUCCAACGGGAUUAAGUCACGUACACAGGGUCUGCAACAGAGACAGCACGCAGUGGGCCCUGGGUGUGCUAUUUGGAAGGGCUGCGGCGUGGAAGAGCCAAGCCUCAAGAUCAUGGGACAUUUGAACCUAUGACGUCAGAAUACAUCAACAGGUGUUUUGAUGUGAGUUUUCUUCCGGACCAUCACACUGUUGUACUCUUAUGUUUGCGCUCACCCAUGAUCAAUAGUCAUGGCACUGUGAAGUCAGGACAGUAAACAGUGGCCCAUGGCUCUGUGUGGGGUGAGGGGCCGGCGUGCUGGCAGGAGGCCUUUAUGAUCCCAGGCAAGUCCUGACUGUGUCUGGCUGGCUGCUGCAGGACCUUUCACCAUGUUUACCUUUGCUCUGCUCCCCAGCGGACGAUGGUUGAUGUCGCAUUUCCAAACUGACUUCUACUUUGACCUCAUACAGUGUGACGGUGAAUAGACAACAGAAUUGUAAGGCAAACACCUGUUUGUAAACAGAGAGAAGCCCAACCACCCUGGUCAAAAUGAAUGAGCCCAAGCCUAAAAUCAAUCAGAGUGUGGGCAAGAAGGUUGCCUUUUUAAAGGAAAAAUAAAACUUAGAGCCUGUUUUCCAUAAGCAUGUGCUUUCCAUAGCACAUUUAGCACUGUGAUAAAUGUAGGGUGUUCUUGUGAGGAGAUUUUAAGUAUGUGAAAGUUAAUUUAUUCCUGCAAUCUUCUCAUAUCCAAGCCUUAACAAAUGAGUUCUUGCAAAGUUGAAAUCAUCACACUAUAUACGUAAUCUUUUUUUCACUAUUAUGAUGGCUAAAAUUCCUCAACACAGAUUGUUUGCUACAAACUGGCAUGGGAUUUGUUUUAAUACUGCUUACUUUGUGUGUAUCGUAACGCUUAAAAACGAUUAAGAUUUGUAACUUUUCCUUUUCCCAAAUGUAAAGUUUUCCACCAAAACUACAAAAAAAUCCAUUAGUUUCCCUGCAUGGUAGUCAGUCUUUAUAAAACAGUCGCCAAGCCUUGCCUCCUGGUGUUCACACCCUUCCCAUAGCCCAUGUAACCAACAGGAGGCUGCAGAAGUGGUAAUGUACAACUUCCAAGGCUGAGUCACAAAAGACACUGAGCACUCCCC
rnacentral:lncRNA from 1 species